ensembl:lncRNA
UGUGUGGACAAGAGAUAUUUUAUUUUGUAUUCUUAUGGUGACAUUUUAUAAUCAUAACUAUCAUUGAUCAGACAUUCAUCAUUGUUGAAUCUGAUGACAGUAUAAUCUUUGUUUUAUAUCUAUGGUAAUCUGAGUAAAGAUUAAUGUAUGCAUAUUAUCAUCAUUUUAAUCAGUCUCAAAUGGUAUCCACAGCAUUGUAUUCACCGUCCAUAACUGGAAGGUCCAGCAGGACCUUGUUCUAAUUCAUUUGCAGGCCUACAUCAGAACACGCACAUAGAGUGUUAUGUAAAUAUGCACGUUCGCAUACACACUUAUUUACACAGGGAGGUCGUGUCAGGACGUUCUCUAGUUGGACUCACAGAACUGCACAACAUGACAUGUCACACACUUGUUUUUCUCUAAAAGUAUCAUCUGAUGUUUGUAUAAGGAGAACUUUGGACUAUGGGGAGACUGUUAUCAUUUCCAGUAAGGUCUAACUGUGUGAUGUCAUCAUGGGUUAUAUAAGGAUGGGGACCGGUCCACUCUUUGGAGAAUCUGUUGCAAGUUUUCUUCCCACACUUCUGCGCGGAGUGUGUAAUUAAAGAUCACUAUUUUGACACCUUCCCUGGACUCGGCCUGCUUUCUUCUCUUACCUAAAACGAACGAAUCUUAACAAUUCUUGGUGCCGAAAACCCGGUUGGGGAGGAGAGGAGCUUGCGACAGUGGCUUGGAAGGUGCCAAAACGAACAGAGAUCAGCAGCUUAUCUGAGUGACAAGCCAGGCGAAAUAAAAGGUGAGAGUGCCACCUGUUGAAUUUUGUCCAAAAGGCGCUAAAAUUGGAAGUUAAUGCUAAAUUUAAUUAAAUAAUAUUCACUCAGUAUAGGCUUCUUAUGUCUGUCCAUAGUGAUUUUGGGGUAAUUAGUGUUAAAACUUUGGGGAAUAUUGGAUUGAUUAAAUGUAUUGCUGUUUAUUUUGGGGGCGAAUAUUGAGUUAAGAGGUUAUGUUUUAAGUAAAUAAGCGUGUUUAUUUUGAUGUGGGUUGAGGCCAGCCAGACAACCAGUAGUUCAGGGUAUUUGGUUUGUUUGACCAGCAGAAAUGCGGUUUCGGGCGUCGAAAUAACUGGGGGCGAAGACCCCGCAGUGACGCUUAUAAUACACUUGAAUAAAUUGUCUUAGGACUGGGGCAUGGCCCCUAAGGGCGCAGUUGCUCAGCGUGUGACGGCGACCCCUGGGUGUGGAUGCACGGCCAGGUUAAAGUUCGGGUGGUACCCGGGGGACUUCGAGCACCCCUUAAAAACUAAAGUGAACAAGGGGUUCACUUUCCUGCCUGCUUUCUUCUCUUACCCAAAUCGAACGAAUCUUAACAGUUGCCAAGGUGAUAGUAAUCUCGAAAAACCAGUAAAAGGACUGUGUCAGAGUUAAAUCACAGUAUGAGGCAUAGGGUGCCAAUGGUGGGAGCGCCGUUUCCUCUGGGAAGAGGGUGCCGGCUGGCUGAGCAACAGAACCUCUGGCAGGAUGGCUCCCUGCCCUAGGUCAGGUACGUGGCAGGGUGUGGAUUGGGUGGAUUCUUUUACAUUUUGAUGGAAGCCAGUUAAGUCUAAUAAUAGAUUAAAUGCCUUGUUGAGGGUGUCAUUUUUAGUAUCUAUAUGAAUGUUAAAAUGACCCUGAACAGUUGUUUUAUAGGAGCAAGCUAUUAACAAGCUAGAGUAGACAGGCUAAACAUAUCCAAUUGAGGAGGGGAACAGAGGGUUGGAGUGCCAUGCAUUUCACGCUAGGACCAAUUCUGUUUACAUUAUGCAUUUUUCCCUAAGGCAGUAUCAUAAGAAGGAAUAGCAUAAUAAAAAUAAUAAUAAUAUUAAUAAUGAUAAUAAUACAUUUUAUUUAUAGGUGCCUUUAAGACCCUGAAGGUCACCUUACCAUAGCACAAGAACAAUAGCAGCAAUACAAUAUAACAAACAUGGCAACCAAAAAAAAAAUAAGCACAAUUCUGAAUACAUGGGUUUUGAGAUGUGAUUUAAAAGAGGUGAGAGAGUGUAAAGGCUUUGAGUCCCGUGGUAGUCAGGCAAGCAGGUGGAACAGACAGAAGAGAAGCUGAAGAAGAGUGAAGUGCACGAGCAGGCUAAGUAAACAGUCUACCAGCCAACCCAGGUGGCCUUGCAUGGAAUGGGAAGGAACAGAAUCAACACAGUCGUUAUCAGGGAGUUUUGUUCAGCUCCGGCCUUGAGACCGCAGCUGGCGCUGAAGGGGUAUCUGCAUUAUGAUGGUGAUUUUUCUUUUGUGACAACUCAGGAGAAUUUCAAGCUGUUUUUAACACUCCGACACCGACACUGGUCUCCCAAUCUCCCGUUGGAUAGCUGCUUUGAAGUUUUGAAAUUUAAGCUUAAAUUUCAGAACUUACAUUUUAACUACUGAUUUUAUCUACUGUUCUGAUUUUAUCUGUUUUGAUUUUAUAUACUUUUUUGUUUGUUUGUUUGUUUGUUAAUUAGUUAGUUUGUUUGCUUGUUUUAAUCAAUUUUAAAUCAUGCUUUUUAUUUGUUUUUGUUUCUAAUGUCUCUGUAAAGCACUUUGACUCACCUUGUUGAAUUGUGCUAUACAAAUAAACUUACCUUGCCUUGCGAGUUUCUCCAUGAUGUUAUUUACCUUCAAUUCCGUGGUCUUUU